rnacentral:lncRNA from 1 species
CUGCGUCUUGCCUGCCGCUUUUCCUGCUUUCUCGGUCUUUAGCCUGAGUCCACAUCCCCCCCCAGGCCCACAGCCUGCUGAAACGCCCUGUAGGCGACCGUCAGAAACGACGUGUUUACACCCUCAGUCUACACAGGAAAGCAAGACUGUAUUGAACAAACACGCAUACAGCUCUGGUUGGGUUUGUUUAGAGCCCUGUCCCAAGCAGGACCGCUUUCCCACCCUCUUUCACGCUCUGCGCCUGGACGCUGCAAGCUGACCUGGUUUAUUCAGAGUCUCUGUUGCCUCGACCAGGCUGGAGUGCGGUGGUAUAAUCUCGGCUCACUUCAACCUCUGCCUCCUGGGUUCAAACGAUUCUCCUGCCUCAGCCUCCUGAGUAGCUGGGAUCGCAGAUGCCCUUCACCACACCCAGCUCUCAGUGGAGGUGGAGCUGAAGCAACUGGGAAGCAGAAAAGCCUUGGGGCAACUGUGGUGGGGAAGACGAGCUGGCAGUGCCAGUGCCGGGAUUCACUCACGUCUGGGAGUCACGGGCGAGGAGAGGAGCCUCGGGACCCAUUCCCUUCCUUGUCCACCCUGGUGGCCCUUCAAUGUGGCCUACAGACUGGUGGCCAUCUAAACAGAAGACACGAGGGGUCCACUUGCUGUCUUAGAUCCUCCUGAUGCCGUGCUGUGCUCUGGGUGUGUGGCCGACGCGUUCCUUCAGCCACCAGCCCGAGGGUUCUCCUGCGACACCUCCCAGCAUCCCAGGGAGCCUGGCUGGCACAGGCCAGGCCCCUGCCUGACAGCUGCUGCCCCUCUGUCCAGCUGCCCCUGCCCCUUGGGUCUCCUGUCCUUCAGGAGCCUUCUGGGAACUCCUGCAUUUCUGGGUAAAGUCCCUCUUUGUGCUUCUAUAGACCGCAUAUUGUAUGAUUCCAUUUACAUGAAAUGUCCAGAGUGGAAAACGAGAGAGGAGAGACAGAACGUAGAUGGGCAGUGGGAGCUGCUCGUCGGCAUGGGGAGGACGCACCCCCGCUCUCGAGGCCUCUGCCCCUGGUGAGCUUCUGCGCCCCUGACCUUCAGCCGAGC